UGGCGAACGGGUGAGUAACACGUGAGUAACCUGCCCCUAACUUUGGGAUAACGCUUGGAAACAGGUGCUAAUACCGGAUACGAGCUUCCUUGGCAUCUUGGAAGUUUGAAAGCUCCGGCGGUUGGGGAUGGACUCGCGGCCUAUCAGCUUGUUGGUGAGGUAGUGGCUCACCAAGGCUUCGACGGGUAGCCGGCCUGAGAGGGUGACCGGCCACAUUGGGACUGAGAUACGGCCCAAACUCCUACGGGAGGCAGCAGUGGGGAAUAUUGCACAAUGGGCGCAAGCCUGAUGCAGCAACGCCGCGUGCGGGAUGACGGCCUUCGGGUUGUAAACCGCUUUCAGCAGGGACGAAGCUAACGUGACGGUACCUGCAGAAGAAGCACCGGCUAACUACGUGCCAGCAGCCGCGGUGAUACGUAGGGUGCGAGCGUUGUCCGGAUUUAUUGGGCGUAAAGAGCUUGUAGGCGGUUUGUCGCGUCGGGAGUGAAAACUCAGGGCUUAACCCUGAGCCUGCUUCUGAUACGGGCAGACUUGAGGAAGGUAGGGGAGAUUGGAAUUCCUGGUGAAGCGGUGGAAUGCGUAGAUAUCAGGAGGAACACCAGUGGCGAAGGCGGAUCUCUGGACCUUUCCUGACGCUGAGAAGCGAAAGCGUGGGGAGCAAACAGGCUUAGAUACCCUGGUAGUCCACGCCGUAAACGGUGGGUACUAGGUGUGGGGGACAUUCCACGUUCUCCGUGCCGCAGCUAACGCAUUAAGUACCCCGCCUGGGGAGUACGGCCGCAAGGCUAAAACUCAAAGGAAUUGACGGGGCCCCGCACAAGCGGCGGAGCAUGCGGAUUAAUUCGAUGCAACGCGAAGAACCUUACCUGGGUUUGACAUAUGCCGGAAACAUCUAGAGAUAGGCGCCCCUUUUUGGGUCGGUAUACAGGUGGUGCAUGGCUGUCGUCAGCUCGUGUCGUGGAGAUGUGGGGUAAGUCCCGCACGAGCGCAACUCUCGUCCUAAUGUGCCAGCGGGUAAUGCCCGGGACUCAUAGGGACGCUGGGUCACUCGAGGAGGUGGGGGAUGACGUCAGUCAUCAUGCCCUAUGUCCAGGGCUUCACGCCAUGCCACCAUGGCCUGUACUAAAGGACUGCGUACUGUAGGGUGAGCGAUUCAAGGCAGUUCCAGUCCGAGUUGGGGUCGCAGAACUGAACCUUGGAUUUCGGGAGUGCAUGGAUACUCCUCAGAUCUGC
rnacentral:rRNA from 1 species